GAUGAACGCUGGCGGCGUGCCUAAUACAUGCAAGUCGAGCGAACGGACGAGAAGCUUGCUUCUCUGAUGUUAGCGGCGGACGGGUGAGUAACACGUGGAUAACCUACCUAUAAGACUGGGAUAACUUCGGGAAACCGGAGCUAAUACCGGAUAAUAUUUUGAACCGCAUGGUUCAAAAGUGAAAGACGGUCUUGCUGUCACUUAUAGAUGGAUCCGCGCUGCAUUAGCUAGUUGGUAAGGUAACGGCUUACCAAGGCAACGAUGCAUAGCCGACCUGAGAGGGUGAUCGGCCACACUGGAACUGAGACACGGUCCAGACUCCUACGGGAGGCAGCAGUAGGGAAUCUUCCGCAAUGGGCGAAAGCCUGACGGAGCAACGCCGCGUGAGUGAUGAAGGUCUUCGGAUCGUAAAACUCUGUUAUUAGGGAAGAACAUAUGUGUAAGUAACUGUGCACAUCUUGACGGUACCUAAUCAGAAAGCCACGGCUAACUACGUGCCAGCAGCCGCGGUAAUACGUAGGUGGCAAGCGUUAUCCGGAAUUAUUGGGCGUAAAGCGCGCGUAGGCGGUUUUUUAAGUCUGAUGUGAAAGCCCACGGCUCAACCGUGGAGGGUCAUUGGAAACUGGAAAACUUGAGUGCAGAAGAGGAAAGUGGAAUUCCAUGUGUAGCGGUGAAAUGCGCAGAGAUAUGGAGGAACACCAGUGGCGAAGGCGACUUUCUGGUCUGUAACUGACGCUGAUGUGCGAAAGCGUGGGGAUCAAACAGGAUUAGACACCCUGGUAGUCCACGCCGUAAACGAUGAGUGCUAAGUGUUAGGGGGUUUCCGCCCCUUAGUGCUGCAGCUAACGCAUUAAGCACUCCGCCUGGGGAGUACGACCGCAAGGUUGAGACUCAAAGGAAUUGACGGGGACCCGCACAAGCGGUGGAGCAUGUGGUUUAAUUCGAAGCAACGCGAAGAACCUUACCAAAUCUUGGCAUCCUUUGACAACUCUAGAGAUAGAGCCUUCCCCUUCGGGGGACAAAGUGACAGGUGGUGCAUGGUUGUCGUCAGCUCGUGUCGCGAGAUGUUGGGUUAAGUCCCGCAACGAGCGCAACCCUUAAGCUUAGUUGCCAUCAUUAAGUUGGGCACUCUAAGUUGACUGCCGGUGACAAACCGGAGGAAGGUGGGGAUGACGUCAAAUCAUCAUGCCCCUUAUGAUUUGGGCUACACACGUGCUACAAUGGACAAUACAAAGGGCAGCGAAACCGCGAGGUCAAGCAAAUCCCAUAAAGUUGUUCUCAGUUCGGAUUGUAGUCUGCAACUCGACUACAUGAAGCUGGAAUCGCUAGUAAUCGUAGAUCAGCAUGCUACGGUGAAUACGUUCCCGGGUCU
rnacentral:rRNA from 1 species